GAUGAACGCUAGCUACAGGCUUAACACAUGCAAGUCGAGGGGCAGCAUUUCAGUUUGCUUGCAAACUGGAGAUGGCGACCGGCGCACGGGUGAGUAACACGUAUCCAACCUGCCGAUAACUCGGGGAUAGCCUUUCGAAAGAAAGAUUAAUACCCGAUGGCAUAAUUAGACCGCAUGGUCUUAUUAUUAAAGAAUUUCGGUUAUCGAUGGGGAUGCGUUCCAUUAGGCAGUUGGUGAGGUAACGGCUCACCAAACCUUCGAUGGAUAGGGGUUCUGAGAGGAAGGUCCCCCACAUUGGAACUGAGACACGGUCCAAACUCCUACGGGAGGCAGCAGUGAGGAAUAUUGGUCAAUGGGCGCAGGCCUGAACCAGCCAAGUAGCGUGAAGGAUGACUGCCCUAUGGGUUGUAAACUUCUUUUAUAUGGGAAUAAAGUUUUCCACGUGUGGAAUUUUGUAUGUACCAUAUGAAUAAGGAUCGGCUAACUCCGUGCCAGCAGCCGCGGUAAUACGGAGGAUCCGAGCGUUAUCCGGAUUUAUUGGGUUUAAAGGGAGCGUAGGUGGACAGUUAAGUCAGUUGUGAAAGUUUGCGGCUCAACCGUAAAAUUGCAGUUGAUACUGGCUGUCUUGAGUACAGUAGAGGUGGGCGGAAUUCGUGGUGUAGCGGUGAAAUGCUUAGAUAUCACGAAGAACUCCGAUUGCGAAGGCAGCUCACUGGACUGCAACUGACACUGAUGCUCGAAAGUGUGGGUAUCAAACAGGAUUAGAUACCCUGGUAGUCCACACAGUAAACGAUGAAUACUCGCUGUUUGCGAUAUACAGUAAGCGGCCAAGCGAAAGCAUUAAGUAUUCCACCUGGGGAGUACGCCGGCAACGGUGAAACUCAAAGGAAUUGACGGGGGCCCGCACAAGCGGAGGAACAUGUGGUUUAAUUCGAUGAUACGCGAGGAACCUUACCCGGGCUUAAAUUGCAUUUGAAUAUAUUUGGAAACAGUAUAGCCGUAAGGCAAAUGUGAAGGUGCUGCAUGGUUGUCGUCAGCUCGUGCCGUGAGGUGUCGGCUUAAGUGCCAUAACGAGCGCAACCCUUAUCUUUAGUUACUAACAGGUCAUGCUGAGGACUCUAGAGAGACUGCCGUCGUAAGAUGUGAGGAAGGUGGGGAUGACGUCAAAUCAGCACGGCCCUUACGUCCGGGGCUACACACGUGUUACAAUGGGGGGUACAGAAGGCAGCUACCUGGUGACAGGAUGCUAAUCCCAAAAGCCUCUCUCAGUUCGGAUCGAAGUCUGCAACCCGACUUCGUGAAGCUGGAUUCGCUAGUAAUCGCGCAUCAGCCAUGGCGCGGUGAAUACGUUCCCGGGCCU
rnacentral:rRNA from 1 species